rnacentral:rRNA from 1 species
UACGAGAGGCCCAAACGUUAUUCGGAAUUACUGGGCUUAAAGAGUCCGUAGGCGGCGCGGAAAGUGGGGUGUGAAAGCCCUCGGCUCAACCGAGGAAUUGCGCUCCAAACUACCGUGCUUGAGGAACCUAGAGGUGAGCAGAACUGAUGGUGGAGCGGUGAAAUGCGUUGAUAUCAUCAGGAAUACCGGAGGCGAAGGCGCCUCACUGGGGGUUUUCUGACGCUGAGGGACGAAAGCCAGGGUAGCGAACGGG